AUGUUGCAAAAAUUUCAUUUGCACUAGUAUUUAUGUAAAGUUUACUUUUUGUUUGUUUUUCCUUUUUUUUUGAAAAUUAGAAGUAUCUAAUGCAUGCAUGUACAUACAUACGUACAUACAUACGUACAUAUAUAUAUAUAUAUACAUAAUAUAUGCAUAUUAUGUUUCAUUUUCCACUAUUUUAGGAAGAGCAAAAUGGUGAAAGGUUAAACACAUUAUUUGAAAAACAAAAGGAAAUGUUAGAUUUUAAAAAAAAGAAAUUAGAAGAAAAUGUAUCUGCAUUUGAAAGUGAUCUGCACAAAAUUUAUGAAUACUAUCAUGAAUACAACAAGCUAGAUCAAUUCGAAUCAUUGGAUAAUAUCAACAAGUUUAUAACUGAGAUGGUUGAAAAAUGCAAAAAAUUAAACUCGGAACACAAGAAACAUACUUAUACGCUAAAAAGUGCGUUGAUGCUUAAAGGGGAUGUUAACAAAUACAUAUACUUAAGAGAGGGGGAACGAUCGAGUAUAAGGUAAACUUUUUUAUGAUAAUUUGCUUUUUGUCUUUAUUAAAUUAUUGCUUUUGUUUUGUGUUUUUAACAAACCGAACUUAUUAGCAAUGUUCUACUGCCUUAUGUUCGAUUUUGUUCGAUUUUGUUCAACUUUUUUUAUUGGUUUAAGUAUAAUAUAAAUUUUUUUUUUUUUUUUUUUAUUCUUAAUUUUGUAGUAUACAACAAGUCUCUCACAACUAUCCGGGAAGUGUUCAAAACAACCCAAAACGCUAUUAUUGAAAUGAAUGGUUAAUCCCUACUUGCUGCAUAUUCAUUUUAUUUAUUUAUUUAUUUAUUUAUUCAUUUAUUUUAUUUAUUUAUUUAUUUAUUCAUUUAUUUUAUUUUAUUUUUUUUUAAUUAUUGAGAUGUGUUCAUUAUAUAAACACAUUUUUAUUUGUAAAGAUGCAUAUGUAGUAUAUACAUGUGUAUGUAUAUACGUUCAUUCGUAUUUUUGCACAUUUUCUGUUUUUAGCUAAUUUAAUUUAGUUCAUUUUUUUAAUUUAUAUAUAUAUAUAUAUAUUAUUGUUUAAAAUAACAAGAAAAUAAACAAAAUAAAAUAAUUCA
rnacentral:lncRNA from 1 species